rnacentral:rRNA from 1 species
UAAUUGAAGAGUUUGAUCAUGGCUCAGAUUGAACGCUGGCGGCAGGCUUAACACAUGCAAGUCGAACGGUAACAGGAGAAAGCU